GAAGGUAUAGCUCAGUGGUAGAGUGCCUGCAUGCAUGAGGUCCUGGGUUCAAUCCCCAGUGCCUCCA
rfam:Camelus ferus unplaced genomic scaffold scaffold471, whole genome shotgun sequence.